rnacentral:rRNA from 1 species
UACGUAGGGCGCAAGCGUUGUCCGGAAUUAUUGGGCGUAAAGAGCUCGUAGGCGGUUUGUCGCGUCUGCUGUGAAAACUCGGGGCUUAACUCCGGGCCUGCAGUGGGUACGGGCAGACUAGAGUGCGGUAGGGGAGACUGGAAUUCCUGGUGUAGCGGUGAAAUGCGCAGAUAUCAGGAGGAACACCAAUAGCGAAGGCAGCUCGCUGGGACGUUACUGACACUGAGGCGCGAAAGCGUGGGGAGCGAACAGG